rnacentral:misc_RNA from 1 species
UAUUCUCUGCCCCACUCUGAACUAUAACUCCGAUGAUAAUACUCUCCUCUCCUCCUGACUUUCACGUGAUCCCUGGAAUUGAAGUCAUCAGAAUACCUUCUACCUGUUCCAACAUCAGAAGAAACAUUUCUUAGGCGGGCAUGGGCAGAUGUCCGGCCCUCCUGUGUAAGGUCCUCUUGUAGCCUAAAGUCCUGGUAAUCUCCAGCUUGCUUCCUCAAACUACCAUUCUGCCACCUACCAGAAAGUGCAUUUCGAGGUAACAAUCCCUUGGAAACCAAAUACUCAGCUGCAAGUCUGCCAGCUUCCAUCAAAAUGUCCCCUUUGCGUGGUGGUGGCUGUGGUGGUUGUUGAAAAGACUUGGGCUGGCCCUGGCCACGGCCAAAACCACGAUUAUUGAAGCUUCGGUAUUCAGAAUUGUAAAACCCAUGGCCUCUAGCUGAACUAUCUGGGGAUAUCCUCGAGGCACCCAAACCCAUUCCGAUCGAACUAGACCUGUACCCAUCUCCAGGACUUCGGUGCCUAGGAUGCAUCUUUCUGUUCCUGAUUGUUCUCAAACACUAUUAAAUACAACAAAC